UACGUAGGGUGCAAGCGUUAAUCGGAAUUACUGGGCGUAAAGCGUGCGCAGGCGGUUAUGUAAGACAGAUGUGAAAUGCCCGGGCUCAACCUGGGAACUGCAUUUGUGACUGCAUGGCUAGAGUUUGGCAGAGGGGGGUAGAAUUCCACGUGUAGCAGUGAAAUGCGUAGAUAUGUGGAGGAAUACCGAUGGCGAAGGCAGCCCCCUGGGUCAAGACUGACGCUCAUGCACGAAAGCGUGGGGAGCAAACAG
rnacentral:rRNA from 1 species